UACAGAGGGUGCGAGCGUUAAUCGGAAUUACUGGGCGUAAAGCGUGCGUAGGCGGUCGUGUAAGUCGGGUGUGAAAGCCCCGGGCUCAACCUGGGAAUUGCAUUCGAGACUGCACGGCUGGAGUGCGGAAGAGGGAAGCGGAAUUUCCGGUGUAGCGGUGAAAUGCGUAGAUAUCGGAAGGAACAUCAGUGGCGAAAGCGGCUUUCUGGUCCAGCACUGACGCUCAGGCACGAAAGCGUCGGGAGCAAACAGG
rnacentral:rRNA from 1 species